rnacentral:rRNA from 1 species
UACAGAGGGUGCAAACGUUGCUCGGAAUUAUACGUGGGCGUAAAGCGGUCGUGUAGGUGGACUGGUGUGUCAGAUGUGAAAAUCCCUGGGCUCAACCCAGGAACUGCACCUGAAAUACCAGCCUUGAGUGGUGGAGAGGGAAGUGGAAUUCCUGGUGUAGCGGUGGAAUGCGCAGAUAUCAGGAGGAACACCGGUGGCGAAGGCGGGUCUCUGGGCAGUAACUGACGCUGAGGAGCGAAAGCGUGGGGAGCGAACAGG